rnacentral:rRNA from 1 species
UACGGAGGGGGCUAGCGUUAAUCGGAAUUACUGGGCGUAAAGUGUGCGCAGGCGGCGUCGCAAGUCGAGUGUGAAAGCCCCGGGCUUAACUUGGGAAUUGCGCUCGAAACUACGAUGCUGGAGUGUGGCAGAGGAAGGUGGAAUUCCACGUGUAGCGGUGAAAUGCGUAGAGAUGUGGAGGAACACCAAUGGCAAAGGCAGCCUUCUGGGCCAACACUGACGCUCAUGCACGAAAGCGUGGGGAGCAAACAGG